UACGUAGGAGGCGAGCGUUGUCCGGAGUUACUGGGCGUAAAGGGUGCGUAGGCGGUUUGGUAAGUCUGAUGUGAAAUCUAUGGGCUCAACUCAUAGUCUGCAUCGGAAACUGCCGGGCUUGAGUGUGGGAGAGGUGAGUGGAAUUCCUGGUGUAGCGGUGAAAUGCGUAGAUAUCAGGAGGAACACCUGUGGCGAAAGCGGCUCACUGGACCAUAACUGACGCUGAUGCACGAAAAGCUAGGGGAGCAAACAGG
rnacentral:rRNA from 1 species